rnacentral:rRNA from 1 species
GCAAGAUUAAAACUCAAAGGAAUAGACGGGGACCCGCACAAGUGGUGGAGCAUGUGGUUUAAUUCGAAGAUACGCGAAGAACCUUACCUAGCCUUGACAUUGAUAGAAUCCCGUAGAGAUACAGGAGUGCCCUUCGGGGAGCUUGAAAACAGGUGCUGCACGGCUGUCGUCAGCUCGUGUCGUGAGAUGUUGGGUUAAGUCCCGCAACGAGCGCAACCCUCGUGACUAGUUACUAACGGUUCGGCCGAGGACUCUAGUCAGACUGCCUUCGUAAGGAGGAGGAAGGUGAGGACGACGUCAAGUCAUCAUGGCCCUUACGGCUAGGGCGACACACGUGCUACAAUGGGCAGGACAGUGAGACGCAAUACCGCGAGGUGGAGCAAAUCUAUAAACCUGCUCUCAGUUCGGAUUGUUCUCUGCAACUCGAGAACAUGAAGCUGGAAUCACUAGUAAUCGUAGAUCAGCCAUGCUACGGUGAAUACGUUCCCGGGUCUUGUACUCACCGCCCGUCACACCAUGGGAGUUGAUUUCACCCGAAGCGGGGAAGCUAAACUGGCUACCCUCCACGGUGGAAUUAGCGACUGGGAUGAAGUCGUAACAAGGUA